AUUGAACGCUGGCGGCAGGCCUAACACAUGCAAGUCGAACGGUAGCACAGAGAGCUUGCUCUCGGGUGACGAGUGGCGGACGGGUGAGUAAUGUCUGGGAAACUGCCUGAUGGAGGGGGAUAACUACUGGAAACGGUAGCUAAUACCGCAUAACGUCGCAAGACCAAAGAGGGGGACCUUCGGGCCUCUUGCCAUCAGAUGUGCCCAGAUGGGAUUAGCUAGUAGGUGGGGUAACGGCUCACCUAGGCGACGAUCCCUAGCUGGUCUGAGAGGAUGACCAGCCACACUGGAACUGAGACACGGUCCAGACUCCUACGGGAGGCAGCAGUGGGGAAUAUUGCACAAUGGGCGCAAGCCUGAUGCAGCCAUGCCGCGUGUAUGAAGAAGGCCUUCGGGUUGUAAAGUACUUUCAGCGGGGAGGAAGGCGAUAAGGUUAAUAACCUGGUCGAUUGACGUUACCCGCAGAAGAAGCACCGGCUAACUCCGUG
rnacentral:rRNA from 1 species